CUUUAUGAGGUGCAACCAAAACAGCUGUUAGACAUAGCAACAGGGAUAUUCUGGCAGGGUGUCUGUCUAGCAUUAGUUCUGAAUAAUACGGUUGUGGUUUUGAUCACUAAGAUGGCUGUGACUUUUGGACUCUCUUUGAGUGUUUCUUGGAUUUGUUGCCUGCUAAUUGGAGGGAUAACGUGUUUUACCAUUCAAGGUAAUGCUUAUGGGCAUCCUGCCUCCACUGGACCUGAACCAACUGGAGCCCAUGCCCAAGCGAGUGUGGUGUCUGUUCCAAAUGCUAAAGUUACUGGCCACAAAAGCCCGGCAAAUGUGACGUCGGGUCGAAAUGCCACAUCUGAAGCAACUGCCACAUCUGAAGCAA